GACGAACGCUGGCGGCGUGCCUAAUACAUGCAAGUCGAGCGGACAGAAGGGAGCUUGCUCCCGGAAGUUAGCGGCGGACGGGUGAGUAACACGUGGGCAACCUACCCUGUAGAUCGGGAUAACAUCGAGAAAUCGGUGCUAAUACCGGAUAAUCAUUUGAAGUGCAUGCUUCGAAUGUAAAAGAUGGCUCCGGCUAUCACUACGGGAUGGGCCCGCGGCGCAUUAGCUAGUUGGUAAGGUAAUGGCUUACCAAGGCAACGAUGCGUAGCCGACCUGAGAGGGGGAUCGGCCACACUGGGACUGAAACACGGCCCAGACUCCUACGGGAGGCAGCAGUAGGGAAUCUUCCGCAAUGGACGAAAGUCUGACGGAGCAACGCCGCGUGAGUGAUGAAGGUUUUCGGAUCGUAAAGCUCUGUUGCUAGGGAAGAACAAGUGCCGUUUGAAUAAGGCGGCACCUUGACGGUACCUAACCAGAAAGCCACGGCUAACUACGUGCCAGCCGCCGCCGUAAAAC
rnacentral:rRNA from 1 species